AUAUCUGCUGCUGCCUCGUGGCCCCGCCUUCUCAGGGUCUUGGUUCCUAGUCAUUCCCCACCUUUGGCUUUAGGAAUUUUUUCCUUCAGUAACCAUUAUCAGCAUUAAUCCCCACCCCACAAAGUGCCCCCCCACCCCCACCAAAAAACCCAAAGCAAAACACUCAAAACCAAAGGGAGCAGGUGCCUUGAGUUGUCCUCAUCCACCUGAAAAAGCUUCCAAAGAAGUCUGCCUACUCAGACUGAGCUAAAAGGUCUGUCUCACUCAGGUCAGUUUCUUCUCCAUCUAUCUCCCCCCUCCCAAGUCUGGUUUCUUGUCCUUGGUUGUCUCUCUCCAACAAAUCAAUGUCAAAGGACUCCAUUCUUUUUUCCUUCUUAUGACCGCCUCCUUAUGAUCUCAAAUCAAGAACCAUUCGUAAUUAAAACAGCUAGGUGUACUGAUGCUGGCCUUUAAUCCCAGCACUCUUUUAAGUUUUUGGCCAGACUGUUCUACAUAGUGAAUUCCAGGACAGCCAGAGGUGUAUAUAUAGUGAGAGCCUGUCUCAAAAAACAAACCUCAGCAACAAUGCUUACAGGAUACUCAAGUUGCUGGCUCUUGUUCUAUAACUAUAGGUGUAAUGGAGCAUCGGAGACACUUAUGGGUUUUAGGACUUUCAAGCUGCAGUGAAGGAAACAACUUAGCCUAUAAUCUUAGUACUUAGAUGAUAAAGGAAAGAGAAACAGGAGUUUAAAGAUAAUAUCCGCUACAAAGAGAAUAUGUGAUAAGCAAGAUCUUGUCUGAAAAGGAAGCAAGCAUUUCCAUUUCCAGUUAGGUCUCAACCCUAGAGUGUCCCUCAGCCUUCCUUUCUUUUGUAAGGACAUCCCUGGUCUCUGUGUAUAUCAGCAAUAGCUUUCACUUUUAUUGUGGUAAAAUACACAUAAUGUAAAAUGUGCUAUUAGUGACUUUUCAUCUAUUCACAAUGUUCAACCACUAGCACUGUCAUUCCAGAGCAUGUUCAUUACCUCCAAAGAAAACAGGACCAUUAAACUGCCACUUCUCACUCACCUUCCUUUAGCUCCUGGCAACCACUACAGUUUUCUGUCCCCAUGGAUUUAGCUGAUGGAGAUGUUCCAUUUCAACAUAAAAGGCACAUAUUGUAUGGAAUGCUGUACAAUAUGUGUCUUUUGCUUAAUAUAAACCAUUUUUAAGGUCCAUCCAUGUUUGGGCACAUCUCAGCAGUUCAUUUUCCAUUUUGUGGUAGAAUAAUAAUCCACUUGACAUGGAUCACAACAUAUUCAUCUGUUGGUCCUAUGUACUCAGGGGACCCCAGCUGACUUAGAGUCACAUGUCCAUUUGCCAUGUAGUGUUGGAUAGAACUGUCUGCCCUGUCCCAUCACUUUCCAAUUGUACUGUUUUUUGUUUUGUUUUGUUUUUUUGAAACAGGAUUUCCCUGUGGCUGUCUUGGAACUCACUCUGUAGACCUCAAACUUAGAGAUCUGCCUGCCUCCCAGAUUCCUGGGAUUAAAGGUGUGGACCACCACUGCCUGGUCAAAUUAUACUCUUCAACAUGGGGGUGGGGCAGUGUGUUCCAGGCCCUCUGUCCCACAGAGAAGUAGUUGCCACUGGCCUUUGCCUUACUUUUCAACUGUUUUAGUCUAGGGUGGGAGCAGGACUCCUCUCCAUCUUCCAGGGGGGUUUCCAGGAAUCACCAGUGCUUUGCCCCUGGGACUAUGGGCUACUCUCCACAAGAUGCCCAGUCUGGCUGCCUCUGACAGAACACUGAAGUAGGUACAUCUAGGACCCUACUUUCCUCAGUUAUUCUCUAUUCACAAAGCAGCCACCCACUCAUUAUCUCAGCAUUGGGAAGGUGGAGACAGGAGACAAGUUCAAGGGUUCAAGGCUAGCCUGGACUACUGAGACCCUCUCUGAAAAUUAAAAAAAAAACAGCUCUACGUAAUUUAAAUGUGAAAUAAAAUAAUAGUAUUGCGUUAUGCAGGUAGCUGUAUAGCAUUAUGGAUUCUUAGUUGGAUUAAACAUUUCUUAGUUGUCUAUUU
rnacentral:lncRNA from 1 species